CCCUAUCGCCGAUUCCCUUGAGUUGAUCAUGGCUCAGAGCGAACGCUGGCGGCAGGCUUAACACAUGCAAGUCGAGCGGGCGUAGCAAUACGUCAGCGGCAGACGGGUGAGUAACGCGUGGGAACGUACCUUUUGGUUCGGAACAACACAGGGAAACUUGUGCUAAUACCGGAUAAGCCCUUACGGGGAAAGAUUUAUCGCCGAAAGAUCGGCCCGCGUCUGAUUAGCUAGUUGGUGAGGUAAUGGCUCACCAAGGCGACGAUCAGUAGCUGGUCUGAGAGGAUGAUCAGCCACAUUGGGACUGAGACACGGCCCAAACUCCUACGGGAGGCAGCAGUGGGGAAUAUUGGACAAUGGGCGCAAGCCUGAUCCAGCCAUGCCGCGUGAGUGAUGAAGGCCCUAGGGUUGUAAAGCUCUUUUGUGCGGGAAGAUAAUGACGGUACCGCAAGAAUAAGCCCCGGCUAACUUCGUGCCAGCAGCCGCGGUAAUACGAAGGGGGCUAGCGUUGCUCGGAAUCACUGGGCGUAAAGGGUGCGUAGGCGGGUCUUUAAGUCAGGGGUGAAAUCCUGGAGCUCAACUCCAGAACUGCCUUUGAUACUGAAGAUCUUGAGUUCGGGAGAGGUGAGUGGAACUGCGAGUGUAGAGGUGAAAUUCGUAGAUAUUCGCAAGAACACCAGUGGCGAAGGCGGCUCACUGGCCCGAUACUGACGCUGAAGCACGAAAGCGUGGGGAGCAACAGGAUUAGAUACC
rnacentral:rRNA from 1 species